rnacentral:sRNA from 1 species
UAGGAGGUAGAGGGAAUGGGGUUAGGC